GACGAACGCUGGCGGCGCGCUUAACACAUGCAAGUCGAACGGAAAGGCCUGCUUUCCCUUGUGGAUUGCGGGUACUCGAGUGGCGAACGGGUGAGUAACACGUGAGUGAUUUGCCCCCAACUUGGGUAUAAGCCCGGGAAACUGGGUCUAAUUCCCGAUAGGACUGCAGGGUGGUGUCUGUGGUGGCAAACGAUUUUCUAGUGGUUGGGGAUGAGCACGCGGCCUAUCAGCUUGUUGGUGGGGUAAUGGCCUACCAAGGCGGUGACGAGUAGCCGGCCUGAGAGGGUGGACGGCCACAUUGGGACUGGGAUACGGCCCAGACGCCUACGGGAGGCAGCAGUGGGGAAUAUUGCACAAUGGGCGGAAGCCUGAUGCAGCGACGCCGCGUGGAAGAUGACGGCCUUCGGGUUGUAAACUCCUUGCGACCGCGAGGAAGCCACCUGGUUGGAAGGGUGGUGACGGUAGUGGUAGAAGAAGCACCGGCUAACUACGUG
rnacentral:rRNA from 1 species